rnacentral:rRNA from 1 species
AACGAACGCUGGCGGCGUGGAUAAGACAUGCAAGUCGAGCGGGACAAUCAGGGUAGCAAUAUUCUGGUUGUUCAGCGGCGCAAGGGUGCGUAACACGUGGGUAAUUUGCCAUGAAGUCUGGAAUAACUUGCUGAAAGGCGAGCUAAUGCCGGAUGUGACUUCCGAGGGGCAUCUCUUGGAAUUCAAAGCUGGAACCGUAAGGUCUGGCGCUUCUUGAUAAGCCCGCGGUCUAUCAGCCAGUUGGUGAGGUAACGGCUCACCAAGGCUAAGACGGAUAGCUGGUCUGAGAGGACGACCAGCCACACUGGAACUGAGACACGGUCCAGACACCUACGGGUGGCAGCAGUCGAGAAUUUUCACAAUGGGCGAAAGCCUGAUGGAGCGACGCCGCGUGGGGGAUGAAUGGCUUCGGCCCGUAAACCCCUGUCAUUUGCGAACAAACCUUACCGGUUAAUACCCGGUGAGCUGAUUGUAGCGGAAGAGGAAGGGACGGCUAA